GAUUUGUGAAACAGGUUAGCAUUGGCUAACCACAGUUACAAUAAUUUACUAACCUUUUUGGAGCCCCUGUGUACAAGAGGCACCAAGACUUUCUGGGUGGGAAGGUUGAUUCUGUAACCAAACUGCCAGGGUUUAAAUCCUAUUAGCCCCAGCACUGGGAAGCUCCGAGUUAGCUGGUCCUUCCGUGUCAUUGAGGCUAAUAGCCAGGGUUAUUACAGCAGUUGAACUGCCACAAAGAUUGCAGGUGUAACCCAGAGUUCAGCCGUCUUUAGGAAGAUUAAACUCCUACCCAGCUGUCAUUGGUCUUUCUUGGUCAUUUGUAAUGUUGGCUAGUCUGGUGUUCUAACCUGUGUUCUAUCCCUUAUUUAAUCUUGGAAAUCAUCCAUAUCCUUGCUUCCAGAAAUCCUUGAAUCCUGCUCACCUU
rnacentral:lncRNA from 1 species